GGAGGAGGUAUAGAAGAUGCGAGUGACGCUGCAGAAGCACAACUCAAGAAUAAGAAGCGCCUGCUUCGUUUGGAAUUGGGUUUCGACUACAACCAGGAGAACGGCAUUUUAAUUGAAGCUUUACAGCCUCCGUCAGACUUGGAAUGUCUGACCAUAUCUAGUUACGGAGGGUUGGAUUUGCCACAUUGGAUGAUGACAUUAACCAGAUUACAGGAGCUUAGACUUGAUGAUUGUACAAACCUGGAGGUCUUGCGUCCGUUGGGAGGAUUGCCCAACCUUGAAAUCCUGGUACUGAGCUCGUUGAAGGUGAGAAGGCUGGAUGCUGGAUUUUUAGGUAUAGAAAAGGAUGAGAAUGCCAGUAUUAAUGAAGGAGAAAUUGCAAGGGUCACUGCUUUCCCCAAAUUAAAAAGACUUGAUUUUAGGCAUCUCUUAGAAGUAGAAGAGUGGGAAGGAAUUGAAAGGAGAGUGGGAGAAGAAGAUGUCAACACAACUUCAAUAAUAUCCAUUAUGCCACAACUUCAAUAUUUGAGAAUUAUCAAUUGCCCGUUGCUGAGAGCACUACCAGACUAUGUUUUGGCAGCGCCUCUACAGGAAUUAGACAUAAGGUGGUGCACCAUUCUAAGGAAACGUUACGGGAAGGAGGAGAUGGGUGAAGAUUGGCAAAAGAUUUCUCACAUCCCAAACAGUUAUUUUUAUGAUUAGGUGAGAAAGGCAGAACUCUUUAGAACCUGCUUUGAGUGUAUUAAUUAUUUGCUUUGGUGUUUGCUAAGGUUGAGUGUAAAUAAUAUGUAAGCCUUACCAUUUACUCUAUGUGACUGUUUCAGUGGAUUAAAUCCAAGAAAUUCUUAAACCUCAGUUUCAGUGGAUUUCAUUCAAUGUGACUUUACUGUAAUUCGAUUUUAUUUCCUACUUACCAUUUACUCUCUCAUCCUCUCCCUCUCCCUCUCUCUCUCUCUCUCUCUCUACUGUAAUUGGUUUUAUUUCCUACUUACCAUUUACUCUAUCAAAAGCAGCUGUCAUAUUAUCUCGCUCACGUGAAGCUUAUUCCUUACUUAAAUUCUCCAAAUGCCACUCUAAAAAAAUUGCGUUUGAAAUUUCAACUACUGUAACUCAUAUCUAUAAUUAAUCUAUAUAUUUUAACAUCCUCUCUCUCUCUUUCUCUCUCUCAACAUAAAAUGAUAUGUAAUUCAUAUGUUUCUUUGAGUGUAUUAAUUAUUUAUUAUUGAAUAAAUAAUAAAUAAUUGAAGUAAGGAGAAAGGAAUUAUUUAUUAUUGAAGUAAUAAAUUAUUUAUUACUUCUUCGAGUAAUAUUAAUUAUUUAUUACUUCUUUGUGAUUUACUUCUUUGAGUGUAUUAAUUAUUUAUUAUUGAAGUAAGGAGAAAGGAAUUGAAUUUAGAAUGCUAAAAGUAAGCCAUGGGGGCAGCUGAAGCACAGAGGUGGUAAUUAAGCAAGUAAUCUAGCUAGAUUGCUGCCCUUGGAAGUUAUUAGUGUCACUUCCAAUGCAAGUUCUCUACAAUUUUUAAUCUUUGUAUCGAAGGCUUCAUGCAUGAAAUAAUUUAUUGCUGGAGGAGGAGCAGGGGCCCCUAGCUGCUGUUUAAUAACGAGGCACAUUGCAAUUUUUAAAAAUGUUUUUUUUUUUAUCUAAAGAUAUAUUAAAAUAUCUUCUUAGAUUUUUUUAUUUUUUAUAUUAAUACAUUAAAAUUAUAUAAAAAAAUACUAGAAAAAUAUUAAUUUGACUUUUUAAAGCCAAUAUACACUUUAAAAUACAUUUAAACACAAUUUCAAAUGCAAAAACAAAAAAGUUUAUGAAUCCUAUCAGCCCCAAGGUUGUAUUGUACAUUUAUUAUUGUAAUGUGAGACACGUCUUUCUAAACCAAUAUAUUUGUAAAAUUUAAAAGUUAACUCUUCAUUCAAAUUAUUUAAAUAACCUGAUAUGAGAUAUAUCAUACAUAAUUAUUAGAUUAAUUAAUUCUGAAAAUUUAAUUAAUUAAUUCUGAAAUUAACAAUAAAAAUUAUUUAUGUUAUAUAAUGUAAAUUGUCAAAAAAAAUUUUAACAUCUAAAUCUAUUGAGUUAAUGUAUCUCGUAUAUAAAACUAUAUUUUAACAACAAUUUUGUCCAUGCUUUUCUCAGAGGGAAGAUUGUUAAAGACUUCAACUAAACCAUGAAAAAAAAAUUCACACAAAGCCCUAGCACCAAGUACCAUGGGCCAGCGCUCCCAUGGCCAGGCGAAAAGCUCCCCUGAAGAGCAACAUGUAGAAUUCAGGUAAUAGCUAUCACGCACUUUAAUAAGUUCAAUUAUUAGUAUUUUUAGCUGAAAUAUUGCACAAAAACUGCUAUAGAGAAACCCAUAUUUUGAUUUUGCAAUACUAAAAUGUUGCAUAAAGUUAAAAGUAUGUGUAACUGUGUAAACCAGUGGAACUGUGUAAAGGGGACUUAUGAUUAUGUUUAAAUGAAUUUUUUAAAUAAAUUGCAUGUCUUCACCAACUUUUACCUGCUUUUCUCACUUUAAUUUCUUUUCUUACUUUAAUUUUUUUUCUUUCCAUUCAACUUUCACCCAAAAAAAAAACAUGUAAUUGGAUUCUAAUAUUCAACAAAAAAAAAAUCAACUUAAUUGUUAAAAUAAAAUUUAGAGAUUAAAUUAAAAAUUUUCAAAAAUUUCAUUGCUCCAACCCGCAAUGAGAGAGGGUAAUAAUAAUUUAAUAAACAGUAAAAAAACCCCACGCUUUAGCUUUAUACUUAAUAUUGAAGAUUUAUAUUUUUAAUAAAUUCAACAAAAUAUACUGAAUGUCUAGAAGCUUGGUGGCCAAGUUCAGAUCAUGAGUUUUCGUUUAUUGUCGAGGAUGAUUUGGAGGUUUCGCCGCUGUUUUAUAAAUUUGUGAGGGGUUUGAUUGUUAAUUACCGUUACAAUGUGUCGAAUUUUAGUCCUUUUAUAUAUGAUAUGGUGCUUCACUUCAGCGUCAACGGUUUGUCCCAGGGACUGCUCUUUUUUCAGGUUUUGUACUUGUUAGACUGGAUGUUUUAAUGUUCAAUGUUAAGGUUUCCAGAUUUCUUGAUUUGUUAUAAAAAAUUGAAUUCAUUAUAUUCUUUAAAUAUCCUUGGAUGUUUUUGAGUUAAAAAUCCACUAUUACCAUUAUUGUCGCCACCCCAAUCCUUUUUCUAUCCUAUAAGUAAAUUCUUGAAUUUAAUAAAUUUUAGUGCUUAAUUUAUAAAAUUAUUUUCAAUCAAGUCACACUUGAUUAAUUAUCUUAAUUUAAUUUCUGACUAAUGAUUCUUAAUGUAUAUGACCCAUUGAGUUUCUAAUAUGUUGGCCCCAAAUAUAAGUUAUGUUUUAAUGUUCAAUGUUAAGGUUUCCAGAUUUCUUGAUUUGUUAUAAAAAAUUGAAUUCAUUAUAUUCUUUAAAUAUCCUUGGAUGUUAACGUUUCUAAGGUGUUUUGGGUCAAAAGAACCUUGAGCUCAAUUUUCUAGCCACCACAGUGGUUGAAAUUUGAGCAAAAUAGACGACGCGUUGUUUAUUUUGACAGACAACAUGUCAUUUGAUUUAUUUAUUUUUUUAAAAUAAAACGAAUGACAUGUCGUCCACCCCAGGUGCAUUUUAAAAAACGACCUAGUCACGUGGUCCUUCCUUGGCAGGCCCGUGCAUGGGCCCUGAUGAAAGGGGUUAGGUAGACCCAGCAACGCCUAACCUUUUUUUUAUUUUUUUUUAUUUCAAUUAAUGCUUCUUUUUUUAUUUAAAAAGAAACUUUAUUAUAUUUAUAUUAAUACACUUUCUCUUUUUUAUUUUGUUUAAAAAGCCUUUUUUAAAAGAUGAUGAUUUUUUGGAUAUCCAUUUAAUUUUCAAAGAGAUUUUCCUUAUUCAUCUAUAAUUAAUGCCAAAUAAAUUGUUUCACAUCAAAUUAACCUCUACAUUUUGUUUCACUUUUGAAACUCAAAAUGACAAGUCAUUUCCAUAGAAACAUACAAAUAGAAAAAUGACCGAUGCAUAAUACUUAAACCCAAUGUGAAGCAAUGGCCAAGUAUAGACUUGCCUUUGCCUUUUUCCUUUUUACACAUAUUUUCUCAUUGUUUCAGUGACAUUUGCUUGCAUCAACCUUGUAGGAAAUUAGUUGCUUUAUACUGAAGUUUCAGAAUCAUACUCUAACCCCAGUCUUAAGCAAAUUAUCUUAAUUUGCAGUAUAUAUUGCCUAAACUUCAUUGAGAAUAACCUCAAAUUAAUUUUCUCUGGCACUCCACAGUAGAUCACUAUCCUUCCUAUCUUCAUCAACUUCUCAUUUCAUCAGUCAACAACGCCCCAUUACUUUCUCUCCUUUUUCUUGACACAUUCAGUAGUAAGAACAACAAUGGCUGACGCACUUGUAUCCCCAAUUUUGGAGCAGUUAACCACGAUCGUUGCUCGACAGGUACUCUUUUUUGUUUCUUUCUUUUUUUUUUGUUUUUUUUAUAAUCAACAGGUACUUAAUUACUUUUCUACAAUUUUGCAAUUAACCUAACAUUUAUAGUUCAUUAUACAUUGAUUUCAUUAUCUUAUAGAAUAUCUGUUAAUUUGUCAGAAGCUAAAUCAGUAGCUUGAUUUAUAUAUUAUCACAUUGCAUGUUAUCAAAUAAAAUACACACACAGACACACAAGAUAGCGGGUUCUUACGAUUCUCUUUCUUUAUAUCUUUUGUGCUAUACAAAAUAUGGUUAUUGUGAUGGCUGGUUAGAACAAAUCAAUAUAGUAAAAUAGUAGUAAAUUCCUUUUUCAAUAAUUCCUUAUCAUAUUUGAAUGCAUAAAUCAUUAUAUUUGUAAUAAAAUUAUUAUGAUAAAAUGAUUAAAAUAAAUAUAGUCAAAUAUUCGAUUAAUUACAAACAUGAUUAUAGAAAUUCUAAUAUUUCUUUUUUAUUUUGAUAUCAACCUCACAGAAUUUUUAAAAAAAUAGACUAUGAUAAUUAUUAAAAGUCACCUAAUAAUAUUGUGAAAUUGCAAUGUAUUGCGCUCCACAAUUAUAUGAUUAUUAUAAUAUCUAUGAAUUCUAUCUUUUAUCUAAAGAAAUCCUUUAUUCAAAUAAAAUAUAUUUUAAUUCACGCAUCUAGUAAAUUUUAGUACAAUAAUUGUGCAUUAGCAUUACAUUAUUUACGAGUCAUUUUAUUUUAGAGAGUUUAUUAUAUAUAAUUUGAAUAUAAUUAACAAUAUAAAUAUAUUAAUUGCUACUGUGAAAAAGUUUAAUAAAAAUGAUUUAAUCUAUUAAUUGCUAAAAAAUAAGAAUUUGUACUGAAAUCAUAGAAAUGUUUCCUAUGCUUAACGUUUCUUUUCCUCUGUACACUAAUAGGUACAAGAACAGGUGAACCUAGUAGUGGGUGUGAAGAAACAAUGUGACAAGCUGAAAAGCAAUCUCCUUGAUAUCCAAUCUGUCCUUGAAGAUGCAGAUAGAAAACAAGUGAAGGAUAAGGCUGUAAGAGAUUGGCUAGACAAGCUCAAAGAUGCAUGUUAUGAUAUGGAUGACGUGCUAGAUGAAUGGAAGCACUGCAAUUCUUCGAUGGAAAAUGGAGGAAGCUGUAGAAAAUACUCACAGCCGACAGAAGAUACAGUGUUCCUUCCUGGGAUCUCCUUGCUUUUGUUUCAAUCAAGUGGUUCGACGUCGCGACAUUGCCCUGAAGAUCAAAGAAGUUAGUGAAAAAGUGGAUGACAUUGCCAAAGAGAGAGCUAAGUAUGGCUUUGAUCUGUACAAAGCCACUGAUGAACUACAGCGACUAACAACUACCUCAUUUGUUGAUGAAUCAAGCGUGAUUGGUCGAGACGGCGAAAAGAGAAAUGUUGUAAGCAAGUUGCUGGCUGAAAGUAGUCAAGAAGCACGGGACGUGGAUGUCAUCUCUCUAGUAGGGCUGGGAGGAAUUGGAAAACUCGCCCAACUAGCUUUUAAUGAUGCUAAGGUUACGGAUCAUUUUGAGAAAAAGAUAUGGGUGUGUGUAUCAGAUCCAUUUGAUGAGGUUAGAAUAGCCAAAGCUAUCCUUGAGGAGCUUGAAGGGAGGGCAUCUGAUUUGGUAGGAUUGCAAUCCCUUUUGCGAAGGGUUUCUGAAUCCAUUAAGGGAAAGAGGUUCCUUCUUGUCCUUGAUGAUGUCUGGACAGAAAAUCAUGGACAAUGGGAACAACUGAAACCAUCUCUCACAGGCUGUGCACGAGGAAGCAGAAUUCUAGUGACCACUCGUAAGGACGCUGUGGCAACGAUGAUGGAAACUGACCACCGGAUCAACAUUGAGAAAUUGUCCGAUGAGAUAGGUGAGAAAGACAGAACUCUUUAGAACCUGCUUUGAGUGUAUUAAUUUAUUAUUAUUAUUUUUUUUGCUUUGAGAGUAUUAAUUAUUUGCUUUGGUGUUUGCUAAGGUUGAGUGUAAACAAUAUGGAAGCCUUACCAUUUACCUAUGUGACCUCUCUCAUCCUCUCAACAUAAAAUGAUAUGUAAUUCAUAUGUAUAAUUUCUCUCUCUCUCUCUCUUUUAAACCUCAGUUUCAGAUAAAUGAGAGAAUGGUAGACUUGGAAGCUAAACCUUUCAUCUAUAAGUGAUAUACCCAUCGAUUUUGGAGACUAAAUCCAAAUAAAGUUAUCCAAACCUAACACAAAAAAUCUUCAACAAUAAUUAAAUUACAAAUCAACAACAAAAUUCAGCAGCAAGGCCUAAUUAAAUGUUUACUCAUUUUUAUUUUUUUUAUAAAAAUAUGGUGAUCAAAUGCAGGUCAAAUAUUUUUAUUUUUUAAUAAAAAUUUAGUUCUUUAAAUAUAUUUUUCUAGUUCAAAAAAUAUAAUAAAUUAAAAAUUUUAUAUACAUCUAAUCAAAUAAAUUAAAAAAUAUUUAUGUUAAUAAAUAAAUAAAAAUUUGUUAAUAAUACUUAAAAACAAAACUGGUUCAAGCCUUCAUUGAGCUCAAUGUAAAGAGGACCAACCUGCCGUCAUAAAAGCCCAAAAUACUCCAUUAUAAAAGCCCAAGUAAAUAUCCCUGUCUUUCUCUCCCACACACUCGCAUUCUCAGUUUUUCCUCUCUGCGUCUUCAAGCAAUAAACCAUGGGUGAUAGCCAGUACUCCUUUUCUCUCACUACUUUCAGUCCUACCGGAAAGCUAGUACAGAUUGAGCACGCAUUGACUGCCGUUGGAUCAGGCCAAACUUCUCUCGGAAUCAAAGGUUGUUGCAAUUUAAGCUCUCUCUCUCUCUCUCUUUUCUCUCAUUUUCUUGUCAUUUUCGAAUGUACUAUGUUGUUGAUGGGUGCUUAGAUACUAUGUUGUUGAAUUUUUUUUUUUUGGUGUUGUAGCGGCAAACGGUGUUGUUAUUGCAACUGAGAAGAAAUUGCCAUCUAUUUUAAUCGAUGAAUCUUCUGUAAGUAAACUUUUUUUUUUUUUUUCGGUUUUGUUAUAUUCUUUGGUUGAAAUUCAAGAAACCCUUUUGUUUUUUUGCGUUUUUUAUUGUGUUUUCUUUGUGAACUUUUCGGGCUGGCCCUGCGAUCUUUUAGUAAUAACCUAAGUAUAGAGACAUGGGCUUGUAGCACUCUAAUUGAAGAAGCUGAUGAUUCUUGUGGAAAAGCAACGUGGAUUCUAGUCAAUGAGGUGUUGGUCUAGUAGUUAACAGGUUUAUAUUGAGAUUCUUAGGAGUCAUUUGAGUUUAGUGACAUCGGCUGGUAGAAAUCUGUUAAAAUUCGGUGUAAAUUUGUAAUUUUUAUUAGUAAUUUGAGCUUAGUGAUUUGGGCUCUUGCCAAUGAGGCGUUACUAUACUAGUUAAUGACUCUAAGAUUGAGACUUUGGAUGUUGGAGUCUCUAGAUUUAUAUCCUCAUUAAUCCCACAUUGUAUAAAAAGGUGUUGUUGAUUAUUUUAAAUCGUCUUGAAUGAGGUGGAGAUGGUUUGAUUUUGGAGCCAGUCGAUUGGUCUAUUAUUCUAAUUUGCAAGAUGGCAUGGAUUUUGGAUUAAAUCCAAAUAAAGUUAUCUAAACCUAACACAAAAAAUCUUUAACAAUGAAUGUCAUAACUCAAUUCUGGGUUAUUCUUCAAAAUCUAUUUUUUUAAAAUAAUAAUAAAAGCUGGCAACGUGGAGAAAGUAGGCGGGAAAUCAAGUUGCAAUUUUUGGAGGAAAUUCAAGACCUAAUUGUACUCCAUUAUGUCCAAAAAUGGAGAAAAAAAUGCAAAUUCAAGGUCAAAUUCAAUGAUUAUUGGACGAAUUUGCGUAAAAAUUAAGUCCAAUAACAUAAUUAAAUUUUUAAUAGGCCAAUUUGAUUUAAUCAUGGACCAAAUUAAAUUUUAAUUAUGUUUAAGAAUUAAUUUCGGUCCAAUUAAAGGAUUUAAUUAAGUGCAAGGACUUAAUUAUACUUUAAAUGGGUCAAAUUAAUUUUAUUUGGAGCCUAAUUGGUGAAAAAUUAAGUUUGAGAGCCUAAUUUGAGCAUAAUUGAGAAGAUUGGAAUUUUAAGAGACUAAAUUUAAUUUUUACCAAGUUAAUUGAUUGAAAUUAGGGGUCAAAUUGCAAGAAAAUUGAAGUUUUGGGGUCAAUUAGGGGUUAAAUUGACAAAAUUCACAACCAAGGAUCAAUCUGCAAAAGGCGCCAAACUAUAGGGGUUUAAUUGACAAAAUUCAGGGGUCAAAUUGAAGAAAUUGAAAGUUUAAUGGUCAAUUAGGGAUGAAAUUGCAUAAAUUCGAGACCAAUGACUAUACUGCAAAAGGCGCGUAAAUACAGGGCUAAAGUUGAAGUUCUGCAGGGGUCUUAUUCCAUUAAAUCAAAGGUUUAGGGUCAAUUAGGGGUUCAAUUGAACCAAAUUGAAAGCUAGAGGACUACAUUGAACUUCGGCAAAAUCCCUAAUUUUAACCCAAAAUGAUGUUGUUUUUGCGUUAAAAAAAAAAAGAAAGAUACCAGGCGACACGUUGCCUGGUCACUGUUCAUCUUCCCCGUGAACGCUGCCCGGGUAGCAGUUUUGCAGGUGCAUUUAAUGCCUCGCAUGUCCCCCAAAAUUGACAACACGUGCACCAAAAUAGUCACCUGAAAUCCCUCUAUCCCCGAGUAUUAUCUGGUCAGGCCUAUUAACAUGAAAACUGCUCCAGUGACCGGCCUGAAGUAGCCAACUCGGGCAGUUUUGGACUGUCAAAUUUGGCAGAUCGAGGUGCACACUUUGAACCAACGGUUGGAAUGCUUACCAACCAAACCAAAGGCCACGAUUUGACACCAUUAAAGAAAAAAUGUUCCUCUUCCAUCUCCUACAAAUAGGGCUGCAUUUCAUGGCCUGGAGGAGGAAGAAAUCGAGUCCAAAAUUGACAAAAAACCAGCCGCACCCUUCUGUUUUUCUCCUUUUCUUUUCUGCAACGAGUACUCUUUCUCUUUUCUCCUUCUCAGCCGUGCAUUCAGCCACCACCACUACCACCGCUAGCUUGACAACCAUCCUCUCCAGCACACUUCUCCCUCUCCAUUGAUUUCUUCUCCCUUUUCCUCCAUAGCGACAGCAGCUCAUCAGCACCACCAUUUUCUUUUUCUUCCUUCUCCAGCACCGGCAACAGCAACAUCAGCACCGACCUCCAUCCCCACAACCAGCUUUACCACCAUCAUUUCCAUCAACCCAGCUCUUCACCAGUGGCGGAGCAGCCACCGUGACCUUCUCUCUCUUCUCCUUCCAGCUUUUCUCUCUCCUCUGCAACUUUUUCUUCUUCCUCGCACAGUCGAAUCUGGCCACCAUCACCUCAGCCGACGCCCCCUGAGCCACCGGCUAAACCACCUCAUCACGACCGAGACCCCCACGCCAGGCAACUUCCUCCUCCCUGCUUUGCCUCUUUCUUCCUCGUCGUGGCUGCUGCAUGCAGAAUUUAUUUCUACAUGGAGUAAGCUAAUUAAUUAGCCCCUGGUUUGGGUCGGGCCAGUUAUAGCCCUGCCCAAGUGGUUGGGUCUUGCCUGGCCCCCAUUUAAAAAAAAAUCAAAAAAAGUUUUCAAAAAUCAUUUUAAAAAAAAUUUGGGAUUUUUCUCGCAUAUUUUUCUACCAAUUUUGCAUAAUAUCGGGUUGUAUAUUUACACUGUAAAAUACAAAUCUAGUAUUAAAAUACCCGGUUUUCUCCAAAAUAUUUCAAAAAAAAAAUCAAAACAUUUUCAAAAAGAAAAAAAUAUUUCGUUGCAUAUGGCCAAAUUCUAAAAAAAUUUCAAGCAUAUUUUCAUAAAAAAAAUUGCAUCUCUCUCAUGUUUUGAAAAUAAAAAAUGGAUAUCAUAAACAGUUUAUGAUCAUCCAUUAGUAUUUGGCCAACAUGUCAAAAAUCUUUUUCAAAUCUUUUUUUUAUGAUCUAGAUGUAGACUUUAAUAUUUGUGGGGUGUAAAAUUACAUGAUAAAGUACACCCUUAUGUAUUAAAGAUACAAGGUGUAAAUAAAUGCGAUGCCAAAAUUCAGACUUUAGAAUAGUUAGAAUUUAACCCGAUAAGGUAGAAACUCUCUCAUGAAGAGAGAUCUGCCUUGAGCCUUAGAAAAGACUAACGAAUAAAAACCCAACUUAGAAAAAAAACAAUCAAACAAACAAUGCAGCUUACCUGAGGUAGGGUGCAUUGGGGGUGAUGCGUCUUUCCCUUGCAUAACCAGUCCCUUACUCAUACUCUCGCAGACCAUAGAUUCCUAGUGACCAUAAUACUAGGUGGCGACUCCUAAACAUUAAUCAUAAUUCUAUAAUUAAAUCCAAAAACCCUUUCCAACACACAACACCUCACAUAGGAGGCACGGCAAAGAGCCUCCGCCGUCGCGGCGCUCACGCCCCCGCGACAAUGAAUAUGAUUUCUGCUAAUGAAAGGCAAGCCCCCUAGUGCCUGUGCUUUCUAAAUGCCAUCACAGCCCCAUUCAAGGAACUUCCAGACAGAGGAUUCUUCAGACCAAUAGCAUUAAUAAUGGAAGACAAUAUAGAUUCAAACUAUGAUAUCAGAAUCAAUAUAGAUACCACCAUAUUUGCUUAACCCAACAUACAAAGGACAAAUUGCAGAAACAAUGAUUCUAAACAUAAUAGAACCAGCACAUGGAAUAUAAAACAAAAGUUCAUCUCAACUCUAGUGAAGAUAUUCUAGGGGAGUUUUUCGAUCUAUUUUUGAGGGGUUUGUUGGGUAUUUUGAUUCAUUAGCAGCCUUCCAAGUCUUUGUGAUAUUAAUCCGUAAAGACAUGUAAAAAUACCUAGUUACCAUGAUGAGUUUCUCAAAUUUUUUUCAUAUGAAAAGAGAGGUUGAAACCCCGGACCAGUGACCUCCUAGGAAUCAUUAUGCACCCCAACCCACAUGGAAGUGUGAGAUCAACCUCUUAGGAAUCAUUGUGCACCCCAACUCAUAUGCAAGUGUGUAAUUGUUGGUGGACCUCGAGUUGCAGGCUCUCCCUUGUGGUUUUGUUUUUUAGAGUGGCUUACUGCUCACCCAUGGGUGGUGUCAAGGAGAUAUUAACUAACACAUGGUUUCCAAUUCAAGAGCCAUCAUCAAAAUCACAAGAUUCUGAUUGCCAAAUUCUCAACCAAAUAAAAGUUUGAUUAAAUUGAAUUGAAUAGCACCAAAUAUUCAAUGGAUCAACAAAAAUAAAAGGUAAUGUUUAUAAAACCAAUUUUAAUAUAGCUCAAAAUUAAGCGGAUCUUUUCGGUAAUUAAGGUAAGAACUUCAACAAAAAAAAAUAAAGAAAAGAAUUAAUAUGGCCUGACAUGGUUAAAAUAUCCCGGUAAACUCAAGUAAAAUUUGGUUAAAUAUUGUUGAUUUUUUUUGGAAAAAACAAUUUUAGUCAAAACAAUAUUAUUUUAAUUCAGAUUUGACAACUCAGGAUGCCUACUUUGAGGCAAUGGUUGGGAUCCUUACCAACUGAAUCAAGGGCUGAAAUUUUUUCCUGGUAUAAACAAGAUUGCUCUCUUCCACCUCCUAUAAAUAGAGGUGGAUUUCCUGGCCUGGGGGAGGAGAAAAUUAGGACCAAAGUCGGCAAAAAACCAGCCCCUCUGCCCUUGUUUCUGCAGUUUUUCUCUCCCUCUCUCCCCCCACCGUUCGAGCCACCACCUGCUCCACCACAGGUAGCUAGCCCAACCACAAGCUGAUCACCCCCAUUCCUGAAACAGUCACCGUUUCUUCCUCUCUCUCACCUCUGCAAAAUCCUUCUUCCUUCCCCCGUGAUCGACUCCGGCCACCAUUCCUCCCAGCGACGCCACCAAAACCAUCAACACAACCUCCUGAUCACGGCCGAGACUCCUGCUUCGAGUGAGCCGCUCCUCCGUCAACCUUCAUUUUCUGCAACCAUUUCAGUUGCAUGCAGAACGUGAACCACUGUUCACGUUCUGCAAAUAAUUAACAUUAACUUUGGGUCGGGCCAGUUAUGGCCUAGCCUAAUUGGUCGGGUCUGCCCUGGCCCAAAAAAAAGAGAGAAAAUGUGUUGGGCCAAGAUCGGCCCAUUGUUUUCUGGGUUUGUGCCUGACCCACUUAUCUGGGCCGACCCGACCCACAUGUUUUAAUAAUAUUUAAUUAAUAUAUAAUAUUAUAUUAUAUAUUUCUUUUAAAAAAAUAAAAAAAUAAAAAAUCCUUUGAAAAAAAUUGUGAUUUUUUCACAUUUUUUUCUAUCAAUUUUGCAUAAUAUUGGGUUGUAUAUUUACACUUUAAAAUACAAAUCCGAUAUUAAAAUACCUGGUUUUCUCUGAAUUUUUUUUAAAAAAAAUUUCAAAACAUUUUCAAAAAGAAAAAAAAAUUUUUGUUGCAUAUGGACAAAUUCUAAAAAAUUUCCAAGGAUAUUUUCAUUAAAAAAAAUUGCAUCUUUCUCAUGUUUUGAAAACCCAAAAAAAUAGAUAUCAUAACCGGUUUAUGAUUAUCUAUUAGGGUUCGACCAAAAUAUCAAGAACUUUUUUUCAAUUUUUUUUUAGGAUCCAGACGUAAACUUUAAUAUUUGUGGGGUGUAAAAUUACAUGAUAAAGUAUACCCUCGGGUAUUAAAAAUACAAGGUGUAAAUAAAUACGAUGCUAAAAUUUAGACUUUAGAACAGUUAGGAUUUAACCCAAUAAGGUAGAGACUUUUUCAUGAAGAGAGAUCUACCUUAAACCUUAGAAAAGACCAACGAAUAGAAACCAGACUUAGAAAAAAAAAUUAAACAACAACGUAGCUUACCUUAGGUAGGGUACAUUGGAGGUGAUGCGUCUUCCUCUUGCAUAACCAAUUCUUUACCCAGACUCUCGCAAACCAUAGGUUCCUAGUGACCAUAACACUAGGUGGCGACUCCUAAACAUUAAUCGUAAUUUCAUGAUUAAAUCCAAAAACCCUUCCCAACACACCACACCUCACACAAGAGGCACGACAAUAGCCUCUACCGUCGCCAGACGACGUCGCAUUGGCGCUCGACCCCCUUGACAACACUAUUAAAAAACAAAAAACAAUAUGUAAUGGCUCUUCAAAAUAUAUUUAAAAACACUUUUUACUGUCACUAAAUUUUUUUGAUCCGUAACAAAAUUAUCAGAAAUGGUCACUACAUAUAGUGUCAUAAUUAAGUUGAUGCAGUGACACCAAACCCUCUAUAAAAGAGAUUAAAGAUCCAAUUUAAUAAUUUGAUGAAAUUGAAAAUUAAAGAUCCAAUUUAAUAAUUUGAUGAAAUUGAAAAUUAAAGAUCCAAUUUAAUAAUUUGAAGGAAUUUGAUAUGAUUUAUUACUUUCAAAUUAUAUGUAAUCUUUUUUGUUAUGAAAAAAGGGGUUUGAAUUCAAGAUUUUCUUGGAAGAAAAAUACUAAAAUCAUUCAAGUUACAACUCAUUGAAGAUAGUUCAAUGCAGAUGAUAAAACUUGAAUAUCAAAUCCUGGAAACUACAAUAUGCUUAGCCUUCAGCUAGUUAAAAAAACGAAUAUCAAAUCCUGGAAACUACAGUUGAUAAAUAAACCUGGUCCUCGGAACCUGCUUUCAAGUCUCGUUAAUAUCACAUUGCUUAGCAAAAACCCUAAUUCCCGCAAGAACCCUGCUUUCAAGUUUUUCAAUUGCAUGAGUUGCUUUUACUUCCCCUGUCAUUCCAAUUUUCUUUGAUUCUCAUUUCAUCCUUUUAUGGUCAUCAAAUCUUUCUCAUUACUUCAGGUAUAUACGUACAUCACAUCAAUUUCAUUUUUCAACCUACAAGUCGUGCUCUUCCUUCACCACAGCCCUACAAAAACUAAUAAAAAAAUGUUGAGACACUAAAAUACAAGCUUCACUAGUAAAAAAAACUACAAGUUGCAAGAACUCCACCUGCAACACCAAACCCUAAGUAAAUAAACUAACUUCCAUUCACAAUCAGCCGCCUCCUUCCCUUCACCGUCUCUUUCUCUCUGCUCAUCCCAUCAUCAUUGCCUCUCUCUCUCUCUCUCUCUCUCUCUCUCCAAUCAGAACUAAACAGACGAUGGCUGAGGCACUUGUAUCUCCGAUCUUGGAGCAGUUAACCACGAUCGUUGUUCAACAGGUAUUUUUCUACCAUCUGCAAUAACCUGAUUUACCUAGCAGGGAUAAGAAAUAUAAAGGUCAAGCCUUUUUUCUUCCUAUCAUAAAAAGAAUACUUUUAACUUGAAUAAAUGAAAAUGGUAUAUGUUUGGAUUUUAUUAAAGAAUCUUCUUUUUGUUGUUUUAUUAUUUUUCAUAAUUCCAAAAAUAACCUAAAGAAAAUAUAUCAUUCCAAAUAUAGGAAAACCGAAAAAGGCAAAACAAGAGUUGCCAAUUCUCUUUAAACUGAACUAUUAAGGGUAAAAUAAUCAAUAAAAAGUUCAGAGGAUUAGCGAGCGAGUGUAUAUAUAUAUAUAUAUAUAUAUAUAUAUAUAUAUAUAUAUAUAAGGUAAAAUAUAUCUAUAGUUUAAUGUAAAAUAAAAACCAGAUUUUAUGUCGGUUCAAAGGAGAAAUCCUUCUCUCGUGAGAACAUUAAACUCUUUCCAUGCCUAUAUUAAUUAUAUAUAUAUACGUACAAGUUUAACGUUGUACCAUUUAAGAUUCAUUUUAUACCUUCUUAUACAGUAGCAUAGUGCAGACUGAUAUCAUCAUAAUGAUGAUAAAAAGAAAAAAGAAAUAUUAUUAUUUCUAAUAAAUAUUUUACAUAUAAAUUAUUAAUAUAGUAAAUCCAUUUCACAAUAAAAUAUAUUAAUACAAAAUAGAAAUGUUUCCUGUGCUUGAACUUCCUUGUCUUUUCUACACUAAUAGGUACAGGAAGAGGUGAACCUAGUAGGGGGUGUGAAAUUGUCUUGAAAUCACAGAAAUGUUUCCUAUGCUUAACGUUUCUUUUCCUUUGUACACUAAUAGGUACAAGAAGAGGUGAACCUCGUAGUGGGUGUGAAGAAACAAGUCGACAAGCUGAAAAGACAUCUCCUUGCUAUCCAAUCUCGCAUUGAAGAUGCAGAUAGAAAACAAGUGAAAGAUGAGGCUGUAAAGGAUUGGCUAGACAAGCUCAAAGAUGUAUGUUAUGAUAUCGAUGACGUGCUAGAUGAAUGGAGCACUGCAAUUCUUAGAUGGAAAAUGGAGGAAGCUGAAGAAAAUACUCGCAGCCGACAGAAGAUGCGAUGUUCCUUCCUGAGAUCUCCUUGCUUUGGUCUCAAUCAAGUGGGUCAACGUCGGGACAUUGCCCUUAAGAUCAAAGAAGUAUGUGAAAAAAUGGAUGACAUUGCCAAAGAGAAAGCUAUGGAUGGCUUUGUUCCGUACAGAGCCACCGAUGAACUACAACGACUAAUAAGUACCUCCUUUGUUGAUGAAUCAAGCGUGAUUGGUCGAGAUGUUGAAAAGAAAACUGUUGUAAGCAAGUUGGUGGGUGAAAGUAGUCAGGAAGCACGGGACGUUGAUGUCAUCUCUCUAGUAGGGCUGGGUGGAAUGGGAAAAACAACUCUCGCCCAACUAGCUUUUAAUGAUGCUGAGGUUACGGCUCAUUUUGAGAAAAAGAUAUGGGUGUGUGUUUCAGAACCGUUUGAUGAGGUUAGAAUAGCAAAAGCAAUCAUUGAGCAGCUUGAAGGGAGUCCAACGAAUUUGGUUGAAUUGCAAUCCCUUUUGCAAAGGGUUUCUGAAUCCAUUACUGGAAAGAGGUUCCUUCUUGUCCUGGAUGAUGUCUGGACAGAAAAUCAUAGACAAUGGGAACCACUGAAACUCUCUCUCAAAGGCGGUGCACGAGGAAGCAGAAUUCUAGUGACCACUCGUAAGGACGCUGUGGCAACGAAAUUGGGAACUGACCACCGGAUCAACAUUGAGAAAUUGUCCGAUGAGAUAUGCAGGUCAAUAUUCAAUCAUGUGGCAUUCCAGGAAAGAAGCAAAGAUGAGCGCGAAAGAUUGACAGAUAUCGGCGAUAAAAUUGCAAACAAGUGCAAGGGCUUGCCUCUAGCUGCCAAGGUAUUAGGAGGUCUAAUGCAGUUUAAAAGAACAAGAGAAGAGUGGGAACGUGUUUUAUCUAGCGAACUGUGGAGGCCAGAUGAGGUUGAUAGAGACCAGGUUGAAAGACAAAUAUUUAUACCGUUGCUUUUGAGUUACUACGAUUUACCUUCUGUGGGAAGACGAUGUUUCUUGUAUUGUGCCAUGUUUCCAAAAGACUACGAGAUGGACAAAGAUGAAUUGGUGAAGAUGUGGAUGGCUCAAGGUUACCUCAAGGAGACUUCAGGUGGAGAUAUGGAGCUUGUAGGAGAGCAGUACUUUCAAGUCUUAGCAGCGCGCUCUUUCUUCCAAGAUUUUAAGACGUAUGGUCGAGAAGGUAUUGCAUUCAAGAUGCAUGAUAUAGUGCAUGAUUUUGCCCAAUAUAUGACAAAAAAUGAAUGUCUAACAGUGGACGUCAAUAACCUUGGAGAAGCAACAGUGGAGACUUCAAUUGAAAGGGUUCGUCAUUUAAGCAUGAUGCUGUCAGAGGAGACUUAUUUUCCCGAGUUCAUUCAGAAAGCAAAAGGUCUUCGCAGCCUCUUGAUCAACACUAGAGACCCUUCACUUGGAGCUGCACUUCCUGAUCUAUUCAAGCAGUUGACAUGCAUCAGGUCAUUGAAUUUGUCAGAGUCUUCAAUCAGAGAAUUGUCAGAGUCUUCAAUCAAAGAAAUACCAAACGAGGUAGGGAAAUUGAUACAUUUGAGACACGUCAAUUUUGCAUAUUGUUAUCAGUUGGAGUCCCUGCCAGAAACCAUGUGUGAUUUAUGCAAUCUGCAAUCCCUAGACGUUACUUGGUGUGGUUCUCUCAAGGAAUUGCCUAAGGCGAUUGGAAAACUUAUCAAAUUGAGGCAUCUCCAGAUUGAUGGUUCAGGUGUGGCCUUCAUACCAAAGGGAAUAGAGAGGAUAACAUGUCUUCGAACAUUAGAUGUGUUUAAAGUUUGUGGCGGUGGUGAGAAUGAAAGUAAAGCAGCUAAUCUAAGAGAAUUAAAAAACUUAAAUCACAUUGGAGGGAGUCUUAACAUACGGAAUCUAGGAGGAGGUAUAGAAGAUGCGAGUGACGCUGCAGAAGCACAACUCAAGAAUAAGAAGCGCCUGCGUCGUUUGGAAUUGGUUUUCGACAGAGAGAAAACAGAGUUGCAAGCGAAUGAAGGCUCUUUAAUUGAAGCUUUACAGCCUCCGUCAGACUUGGAAUAUCUGACCAUAUCUAGUUACGGAGGGUUUGAUUUGCCAAAUUGGAUGAUGACAUUGACCAGAUUACUGGCUCUUGAACUGCAUGAUUGUACAAAGCUGGAGGUCUUGCCUCCGUUGGGAAGAUUGCCCAACCUUGAAAGCCUGGCAUUCUGGUCGUUGAAGGUGAGAAGGCUGGAUGCUGGAUUUUUAGGUAUAGAAAAAGAUGAGAAUGCCAGUAUUAAGGAAGGAGAAAUUGCAAGGGUCACUGCUUUUCCCAAAUUAAAAACACUUGAGAUUUGGCAUCUCGAAGAAGUAGAAGAGUGGGAUGGAAUUGAAAGGAGAUCAGUGGGAGAAGAAGAUGCCACCACAACUUCAAUAAUAUCCAUGAUGCCACAACUUCGAUGGUUGAGAAUUAUCAAUUGCCCGUUGCUGAGAGCACUACCAGACUAUGUUUUGGCAGCGCCUCUACAGGAAUUAGACAUAAGGUGGUGCACCAUUCUAAGGAAACGUUACGGGAAGGAGGAGAUGGGUGAAGAUUGGCAAAAGAUUUCUCACUUCCCAAACAUUUAUUUUGAAUAAUAUGUAAGCCUUACCAUUUACUCUAUGUGACCUCUUUACUGUAAAAUCCAAGACCUAUCACUGAUCAUGGCAAGACUCACUCCUCUAUUUCCAGAUCCAAAAAUGUCAAGAUAUUUUUAAUUCUUUAAUUCUAUGAAUAAAAACAUAGAUAUUGAAUUUUUUUUUUAAUCUUUCAUAAAUUGAAUUCAAUUUUCGAAAACUUUCUACAAAUCUAAAUAUGGAUAUUGAAAACGACAUCAAAAUAGGAACUUUCAUAGGUUUCCACACACUCCCAUAUGCCUUGAGCUUAAGCGCAGGUGGACAUCUUUUUUUUCUUUUUCUUUUUUUCCAAGACAAAUGCUGCAACCUAUUAAUCAUCCAUGAGCCAUGUGUGCAUACCGCACGCCUCCUUACAGGGCAUCUUCACUGCCGGACUGGUGGGAUUCAUAUAGACUUCAUAUGUGCUACUUUGAGGCUCCAUAUCUCCGUUUCUAGUGUUCUUGAACUCGUCAGAGAGCUUACACUGCAUGCUAUCUAUAACAACAGAUAUCAAGCACAGACAAUAAAGCAUAAGAAAAUUACAAGACAGAAAAACCAAUUCAUCGUAAUUCAAACGCUGAAAUCUCUCAGCAUACAAGUCCAAUUUACACGCCAUUUCCCAGAUUUAGUGCUCGUGGCAGAUGCACAUGAGGUAAUCAUUUCAUGCUAUUUGAUGCUUUCUAAAGUUACCAUAUAUGUCCAUAAUACGAGUUUGAAACAGAAACUGAUGCAAACAGCCAUAUUAAUCAUCCAUGAGCCAAAAAUUAAGAACUGCAAGAGUAAAAUGAACUGACUUCUUACUGCAAAAUGUGAACAGGCAAACGGUGGAUUUGGAAAUCAAGGGGGCAAGAAAAACCUUGUAAUUCAAAUAGGUGCACAGGCUAGGUGUGACAACCCUUUUAAUUCAUGAUCAGUGUAAAAUAUCUAUGGUUGUGGUAAUGCUAAUUAGAGUUGUUGAAUUAUAUUGCAAUGCAAUUCCAUGAUGUAAAAGUAUUUUUCAACUUGGAUUAAACUCACUUAAUUAGUUUAUUAAUUUGUACAAAAAUAGUUUUAUUUCAUAAAAUCUCAUAAAAUAGAAAUUACAAAUAGUAAUUCAACUCAUAAUUUCAUGCUCUCUCUUAUAUAAAAUUUUAAUUUGAACUAAACUAUUCUUUAUAGAAUGAAGUAUUAUUGCUUUCCAUCUAGAAAUGAAACACAAUAAAUUAUUUCAUAAAACAAUACAUGCAAAAUAAUUCAAUACUACUUAUAAAAGAAAAACCAUUUUAAAGUAUUAAGUCAAAAAUUCAGGAUGUUUUAAAGUAAUCCCUAGUAAUUUUGAUUUUCUCAUAAAUCUAAUUUUAUUGAGUGAAUGAAAGAUUUCAAAUAUAUAGUACGUAGUAUAUAAAUAAUUUUCUGAACCAAAGAAAGAUUUCAAAUAUAUAGUACGUAGUAUAUAAAUAAUUUUCUGAACCAAAGAAAAAACAGAAUUUUAGGAGUGAUUUAAAAUCAUGAACUAGAAUUUAAGUAUUCAAGUUGAGCAUAUUAAAUUUGAAUUCCCAGUCGUUCAAGUGCAUGGGACACAAAUCCUUCUUCAAGAAUCGUUGUGUUUUCUUCCCCUCGGAACCCAUUAAAACAUGGAGCCCAAAAGUAUUUAGAUUGCCCAAUUCACCAAGUCAUAAUGAGAGAACCCAAGCCCAAGCAGAGUACUCUGGGCUAAUUCAUUUUAUUUAGUACUAUGAUUAUUAUAUGCACUCCAUUAAUUAUUAGUUCCACUUCAUUUUGUAGCCACGAUGAUCAAUUAUGCAUAUGACCUCACCUCAACACUAGUUUUGUACCCGCACUCUGCAAUGAGGUGCAUAUAGUGUUUUUUCAGAGCAUCAAAGCAUUGACUAAGAAAGACUGACUGAAUUGAAACAGAACGCAACGAGACUUUUGGGUUUGAAACUAAUCCAGUGAAGACAGCAAAUAACCUUCUUCUUUUUUUUUUGUAAGGGAAGGCAAAUAGAAUGAGUUUAAAGCAUAAUGACUUAAUUGCAAAAUGCAUAUGAAUGCAGUUUUUUGACAAGGGAGUUUGGUGUUCCUGAAGCAGCAACAAUGGCUGCUAAGCUACGCAUAAUUUGUUGUCUUGUUCCCAACAAUGCCAUUCUGAUCCCAAACGCUGCUGAGUCUAGCAUGCUGAUUUCCUCACUAAUUUCGAUCUGAAUUUCAAUUUCCAGAUUUCAUAACCUUAGCCCUUAUUUUAGUAACCAAACAACUCUCUUCCUAUGUUCCUGCAUCUGCAUGUCGACUCUUCACUCUCUGAUUCCUGAAUCUUGAAAAGACUCUUCCUUUGUUUUUCUAGUUGUCUUGCGUUAUGUUUCUAGCUAAAAGAAGAAAUAAGUGACUUAAAUUAUGAAAAAGUAGAAAAAGACAAUGAAAGAAGUGCCUUAAAUCACGUUAAGUUAAGAAAGGAAUGAAAAGAAAAAAAGAAGAAAGGAAGGUGAUGUAGUCCAUACAAAAUGAAUCCUUUCCUCCAGAAAAUCUUGCUCAUUUCUUGUCCUUUUCACACCCAUUUGCUCCCCUUCACAAACAAACCUCCCCAUUUAAAGGAGCUCCAAUCACGCAAACCAGCAAUCCUUCCCAACUUUUUUCCAUGACCACAGCACGCUACUGAUAUCCACACAGCCCCAGCUUCAGACAGCUUCCAUCACGCAGACCCUUUCCUGUUAACACAACCGCAGAGCCUGUAGCUGCCGCCAACAAAACCCCAGCAUCCUCUCCAUGAAUAAACCAAAACACAUCCCUGCUCAUCCACUGAUAACUCCUUAAACUACCCAGAUACAUGACUUCCAAAAGGUAUAUGAUUUUUAAAGUUAAAUGUAACCUCUAAAAGUAUGGAGAGUUGGGGACUUGAAUUAUUCUUUGCACGGUGACAAAUGAAUUCUAGAAUUUAGAUUUUUAUUUCCCAUCUAAAUAUUAAAAUAUUUGACAUUAAAGAUAUUUUAAUAUAUUUUUAAACAAAAAAAUAUAUAUAAAAAAUACUUUACAGCAUAAUUUCAAGCACCAUCAACAAAUCCAAUCAUACAACCUCAACAAAUCUGGACCAUCCAUUUUCAGACCCAAAAUCAAAGAUCAAUAUCAAACCCCAGUCCCUGCUAUGAAAACAGGAUAAAAUCACCAGAUCUCAAAAACCCAGAUAGAUAGAUGCUUGUUUAUAUUUCCAUUACACAAGAACUAAUUGGUUACUAAUUUUGGUUUGUUUAAAUUAGUUUGAAUGGCCAGAUAUAUAUUACAUAAAAUGAAGAGAAGAAAUAGAGAAGCAGGAAUUUCAGUAGAAUGCUAUAAUCAGAUGUCCAUAUCAGAUACAUUCUUAACCUACGGUCAGUAUCAAUAAAAAAUAAUUGCUAUAUAUCGAAGAAGAAAUUACUUUCCACAAAUAAUAAUCCUUAGCCUAGAACUCGGUAGAAUUGAAAAGCACGAGUGUUUCACCUUUGGAACUCAAAAUGGCAUGUCAUUCUCAGUAGAAACAUACAACCAGGACUAGACUGAAAAGCUACAAUAAUAUAGGGACUGAAUUGAAGUGUUAGAAACAGUACAGGGACUGAAACAAAACUCAACCCCCAUCACCAAACCCUAAGUACAUAAACUAACUAAACCAGCAGCCUCCUUCCACUCACACUCUCUUCUCUCUCUUUCUCAGUUCAUCCUAACAUCAUUGUCUAUUUUUUAAAAAUAAUUAAAUUAAACAGACAAAUGGCAGAGGCACUUUUAUCGCCAAUUUUGGAGCAGCUAACCACGGUCGUUGCUCGACAGGUAAUUACUUUUAUACAAUUUGCAAUGAUCUAAUUAACCCUUACAUUAAUAAGAAAUAUAAAAAUGAUCUCUUUUUCUUUCUUUAUAAGAAAAACAAAAUAAAAUAUCAAAUCCUCAGAUCUAGAUUUGGAUUUUAUUAAAGAAAUUUCUAUUUAUUGUUUUAUUAUUUUUCAUAUUUCUGGAAAUAAUCUAAAACAAAUAUUCUUAGAAGGAAAAUGGAGUUGUCGAUCCUCUCAUAAAACUGAACUACUAAGGGUAAAAUAAUCAAUCAGAUGUUAAAAUAAUAAGUUUCAUAAUCUUAUUAUAAUACCAACAAAUAUUUAUUUCCAAAUAGAUUUUACGAAUACCAACAAAUACAGAUCCUUUUAUUCUCAAUAUUUCUUUGAUCCACCAAGCUUAUGUUAUAUAUAGGUUUGACGUUGAACAAUUUAAGAUUCAUUUUCUUCCUUCUUGUAUAGUAGCAGAGUGCAGACAGAGAUAUCAUCAUGAUGAUGAUAAAAAUAAAUAUUAUUAUUUUUAAUAUAUUGGUUUUUAAUAAAUAUUUUAUAUAUAAAUUAUUAAUAUAGCCAAUCCAUUUCACAGUACGUGUCAACUACUGCGAAAAAAAACAGAUUAAUAAAAAUUAUCUAAUCUAUUAAUUACCAAAAAUUAAAAUUAAAAACUUGCAGUGAAAUCAUGGAAAUGUUUCCUCUGCUUGAACUUCUUUAUCUUUUCCACACUAAUAGGUACGAGAAGAGGCCUAGUGGGGGAUGUGAAGAAACAAGUCGACAAGCUGAAAAGCAAUCUCCUUGCUAUCCAAUCUGUCCUUGAAGAUGCAGAUAGACAACAAGUGAAGGAUAAGGCUGUAAGAGAUUGGCUAAACAAGCUCAAAGAUGUAUGUUAUGAUUUGGAUGACGUGCUCGAUGAAUGGAGCACUGCAAUUCUUAGAUGGAAAAUGGAGGAAGCUGAAGAAAAUACUCGCAGCCGACAGAAGAUGCGAUGUUCCUUCCUGAAAUCUCCUUGCUUCUGUCUCAAUCAAGUGGUUCAACGUCGCGACAUUGCCCUCAAGAUCAAAGAAGUUAGUGAAAAAGUGAAUGACAUUGCCAAAGAGAGAGCAAUGUUUGGCUUUGAGUUGUACAGAGUCACUGAUGAACUCCAGCGACUAACAACUACCUCCUUUGUUGAUGAAUCAAGCGUGAUUGGUCGAGAUGGUGAAAAGAAAAAUGUUGUAAGCAAGUUGCUGGCUGAAAGUAGUCAAAAAGCACGGGACGUGGAUGUCAUCUCUCUAGUAGGGCUGGGCGGAAUUGGAAAAACAACUCUCGCCCAACUAGCUUUUAAUGAUUCUGAGGUUACGGCUCAUUUUGAGAAAAAGAUAUGGGUGUGUGUUUCAGAUCCAUUUGAUGAGGUUAAAAUAGCCAAAGCUAUCCUUGAGCAGCUUGAAGGGAGUGCACCGAAUUUGGUUGAAUUGCAAUCCCUUUUGCAAAGGGUUUCUGAAUCCAUUAAGGGAAAGAGGUUCCUUCUUGUCCUUGAUGAUGUAUGGACAGAAAAUCAUGGACAAUGGGAAAAACUGAAACCAUCUCUCACAGGCUGUGCACGAGGAAGCAGAAUUCUAGUGACCACUCGUAAGGACGCUGUGGCAACGAUGAUGGGAAGUACUGGCCACCGGAUCAACAUUAAGGAAUUGUCCGACGAGAUAUGCAGGUCAAUAUUCAAUCAUGUGGCAUUCCAGGAAAGAAGCAAAGAUGAGCGCGAAAGAUUGACAGAUAUCGGCGAGAAGAUUGCAAGCAAGUGCAAGGGCUUGCCUCUAGCUGCCAAGGUAUUAGGAGGUCUGAUGCAGUUUAAAAGAACAAGAGAAGAGUGGGAACGUGUUUUAUCUAGCGAACUGUGGGAGCUAGAACAUGUUGAAAGGAGACUAUUUCCACCUUUGCUUUUGAGUUACUACGAUUUACCUUAUGUGGAAAGACGAUGUUUCUUGUAUUGUGCCAUGUUUCCAAAAGACUACGACAUGCGCAAAGAUGAAUUGGUGAAGAUGUGGAUGGCUCAAGGUUACCUGAAGGAGACAUCAGGUAGAGAUAUGGAGGUUGUUGGAGAGGAGUACUUUCAAGUCUUGGUAGCACGCUCUUUCUUCCAAGAUUUUAAGAAGUAUGGUCUAGAAAAUAUCAGAUUCAAGAUGCAUGAUAUAGUGCAUGAUUUUGCCCAAUAUAUGACAAAAAAUGAAUGUCUAACAGUGGAUGUCAAUACACUUGGAGGAGCAACAGUGGAGACUUCAUUUGAAAGGGUUCGUCAUUUAAGCAUGAUGCUGUCAGAGGAGACAUCUUUUCCCGUGUCUAUUCACAAAGCCAAAGGUCUUCGCAGCCUCUUGAUCGACACUAGAGACCCUUCGCUUGGAGCUGCACUGCCUGAUUUGUUCAAGCAGUUGACAUGCAUCCGGUCAUUGGAUUUGUCAAAGUCUUCUAUCAAAGAAAUACCGAACGAGGUAGGGAAAUUGAUACAUUUGAGACACCUCAAUCUGGCAUCUUGUGGAGAGUUGGAGUCCCUGCCAGAAACCAUGUGUGAUUUAUGCAAUCUGCAAUCCCUAGACGUUACUUGGUGUGGUUCUCUCAAGAAAUUGCCUAAUGCGAUUGGAAAACUUAUCAAAUUGAGGCAUCUCCGGAUUAAUGGUUCAGGUGUGGACUUCAUACCAAAGGGAAUAGAGAGGAUAGCAUGUCUUCGAACAUUAAAUGUGUUUAUUGUGUGUGGUGGUGGUGAGAAUGAAAGUAAAGCAGCUAAUCUAAGAGAAUUAAAAAACUUAAAUCACAUUGGAGGGAGUCUUGGGAUACGGAAUCUACAAGAUGCGAGUGACGCUGCAGAAGCACAACUCAAGAAUAAGAAGCGCCUGCUUCGUUUGGAAUUGGAUUUCGACUACAACCAGGAGAGCGGCAUUUUAAUUGAAGCUUUACGGCCUCCGUCUGACUUGAAAUAUCUAACCAUAUCUAGGUACGGAGGGUUGGAAUUGCCAAGUUGGAUGAUGACAUUAACCAGAUUACAGGAGCUUAUACUGUCUGAUUGUACAAAGCUGGAGGUCAUGCGUCCGUUGGGAAGAUUGCCCAACCUUGAAAGCCUGGUAUUGAGGUCGUUGAAGGUGAGAAGGCUGGAUGGUGGAUUUUUAGGUAUAGAAAAAGAUGAGAAUGCCAGUAUUAAUGAAGGAGAAAUUGCAAGGGUCACUGCUUUCCCCAAAUUAAAAACACUUUGGAUUGGUAAUCUCGAAGAAGUAGAAGAGUGGGAUGGAAUUGAAAGGAGAGUGGGAGAAGAAGAUGUCAACACAACUUCAAUAAUAUCCAUUAUGCCACAACUUCGAUGGUUGACAAUUCUUAACUGCCCGUUGCUGAGAGCACUACCAGACUAUGUUUUGGCAGCGCCUCUACGGGUAUUAGACAUAUGGGGUUGCCCCAUUCUAAGGAAACGUUACGGGAAGGAGGAGAUGGGUGAAGAUUGGCAAAAGAUUUCUCACAUCCCAAACAUUUCUAUUUAUAGUUAAAGAAUAGUAAAGGCACGGAAGUCUGUAGGACCGGCAGGAAGAGGUAUGUUUCAUAUACCUCUUUACUGUAUAUUGUUGACUUUGGAUUGUAUUUCCUACUUACCAUUUAUUCCAUCAAAUGCAGCUGUGAUAUAUAUACCCAUCUCUCUCUCUCUCUCUCUCUCUCUCUCAACAUAUAUAAAAUAAUAUGUAAUUCAUAUGUUCAUAUUUAAAGAAUAGUUAGGACCGGCAGGAAGAGGUAAUUUUUUAUUUAAUUAUUGAAUUAGACUUAAAUUUUACAUGUUAAAAAAUUAAUCUAAGAUGAAAUUAUCUCGCUUAAAUUCUCCAAAUGCCACUCUAAAAAAAUUAUUCUACCAGUGUUAAUUCAACGGUAAAAGAUUUUACCAAAUCUAUUUUAACAAAUCUAUUUUGGGCUCCCCAUUUUUGUCAUUCAGAAAAUGGAAUAGUCAUUUUAACUUUGUUUUUGAUUCUUGACUUUGUUUUUGAUUUACUAAUUCUUCAUUUGUUAACCAAAUGAUUUAUUUUUAUUUUGUUCAGAGUGGCUUCCGAUUUGGUUCUGUGUUGUGAUUUACUUCUUUGAUUGUAUUAAUUAUUUAUUAUUAAAAUAAUAUUUUUUAUUUUUUAAAAAUUAUUUUUAACAUAACAUAUCAAAAUAAUUUGAAAACAUCAAAAAUAUAUUAAUUUAAAAUAAAAAAAUAAAAAAAUUUCAAAAAAUUUUUAAAAUGCUUGCUAGACUUUAAAGUUAAUCUAAAUAAAAUAAAAUAAAAUAAAAGUCAAGCCAUACAUACAAUGAUGCUUAUAUGUGUAUUUUUUUUUUUUAAUGAUCCCAAUACAUAUUUGAAGAAUAAAAAAAUUAGUUCAAAAUUAAAAAAAAAAUUAAAAUCUUUUAAAAAUACAACUAAACUAUGGCACCUAGCACCAGGUACCAUGGGCCAGCGCGCCCAUGGCCAGGCAAGGAGCUCCCCUGAAAAGCAACAUGUAGAAUUUAGGCGUAAUAGAGUGUCUGUAGACACUACUACUUAGGUACUAGCUAUCACGCACUUUAAUAAGUUCAAUUAUUAGUAUUUUUAGCUGAAAUAUUGCACAAAAGCUGGAAAAAGUCCAAUUAAGUGGCUGUUUGGUAUAAUUAUAAUAUAUUAUUUUAGUAUAUAUUAUUAAGACAGCUAUAUUUUAGUAUAUAUUAUUAUAGUAUAAUUAUAAUAUAUAAGUUAUAUUAUUAUAAUUAGCAUUAUAAUAUAUAAGUAUCUCACGACUUUUAGAGUAUUACUUAAUUAAUAUUGAAAAUUUAUAUUUUUAAGAAAUUCAACAUAAUAUACUCAAUGGCUAGAAGCUUGGUGGCCAAUUUCAGAUCAUGAGUUUUCGUUUAUUGUCGAGGAUGAUUUGGAGGUUUCGCCGCUGUUUUAUAAAUUUGCGAGGGGUUUGCUUGCUAUUACAAUGUGUCGAAUUUUAGUCCUUUUAUAUAUGAUAUGGUGCUUCACUUCAGCGUCCACGGUUUGUCCCAGGUACUGCUCUUUUUUCAGGUUUUGUAUUUGUUAGACUGGAUGUUUUCAUGUUCAGUGUUAAGGUUUACAGAUUUCUUGAUUUGUUAAUUAUAUUGGGUUUUGUGCGGAUGUAGUGUGCUUCUCAUGCUAAAACUUGCUUUACAAUUGCUAGGCUGAAAUCCUUUUAGUCUUUUGCUUGUGGCGUAAAUAUAUGUAUCAUGUCCAUAGGAUGCGAAAUCCUUUUAGUCUUUUGCUUGUGGCGUAAAUAUAUGUAUGGUGUCCAUAGGAUGCGAACUUGAAAAGUUUCCAUUUGGUAUUUCGCAAUUGCAUAAGCAUAUGUGAUUAUGACACGUACGUCAAAAACAAUAUGCAUUAAUUUUGUUGCUGGUAGAGAGUGCCAUAUGCAAUAUUUUCUGUCUCUUAUUGGAGCCUUUUUAUGAAAAUUGUGUUAAUUCAACAAUUCUCAUUACAUACCCCUGACCUGAUUUUUUUUAAAAAGAAUUCUUUUACCUUUUUGAGAGUGAUUUUGGUUUAUCUGGUCGCUGAUUGCAGGUAAACAUGGAAACAAAAUACAAUUGGAUAGUGAAACGCAUCUUUUCUUGUACCCAUUGGUUGGUACUUGGCGUCAGAUUCUCUUUCCAAAACCUUGGAAAGAGUUUAGGUUGUGGUACGAUCUGUCACGUUCACACUAGAAGAAAAGAGUUGGAUUAAUUCGAGGAAAUCCACAGCCUCCAAUACUUACUGAUUGCUACUGUUUUCAUGCCUUUCUCAUUAACAUGAAGGACUAAAAUACAACUGGAAAAUAAUAACUGACGAUGCACAUUUCUUGCUCAUUAACAUGAAGAAGAAAGGAAGGUGAUGCAGUCCAGACAAUAUGAAUCCUUUCCUCCAGAAAAUCUUGCUCCUUUCUUGUCCUUUUCACGCCCAUUUGCUCCCCUUCACAAACAAACCUCCCAUUUAAAGGAGCUCCAAUCACACAAACCAGCAAUCCUUCCAAAAAAUUUUCCAUGACCAGCACAUGCUACUGAUAUCAGAUAAACAUAAAAUGAAGAGAAGAAAUAGAGAAACAGAUGACAAGCAGGAAUUUCAGUAGAAUGCUAUAAUCAAUUUCAGGAAUUUCAGUAGAAUGCGAUAAUCUUUCAGUAGAAUUCUCCAGACCAAUCGUGUUAUUAAGUGAAGACCAUGAAUUCAAAACUAUGAUAUCAGAAUCAAGAUAGAUAGCAUAACGAUGAUCAUCAGGAACAACCCAACAAGAAAAAAAAAACAAGAGACAAGUUACCAAAACAUAGAUUCUAAACAUAAGAAAUGGCGCGAUUGAAUCACUACAUUACAUAGUAUAACGAUGAUCAUCAGGAAUAUAAAAUAAAAAUUCUUCUCAACUCGAGCGAAGAGGGUAUUAACUAAUACAUGGUUUCUAGUUCAAGAGCCAGCAUCAAAAUUACUAGAUUAUGAGAUUUAUUUUAAACACCUCAAUGUGAUAGUACAGUGUCCUAUAUGAGAUUCACACAGGAACCAGCAAGAUGUUGUGUCAUUCUAGUCAUACAUGUGAUUGACAUUCCAGAAGGGGGAGAUAUUUUCAAGAAGCGAGCUAAUUACUUGUAGAGAGCAGCAAGGUGAACCGGUUCAAUAUAGUGAACAUAUGUCUUUCACCGCUGAAACCAAACUGGAGUGAAAAUAUGGGUUUUCUCCAUAGCCUUAUCACCUCUAGUCAACCACGGGUCUCGCAGCAAAGGAUACGGGUUCAAGAAAACAAAUUCACUAUUUAUCAAGCCAAUCACCCCACCCUUCUCUUAAAGAUUACAACUUUUUACUUAUCUUUAACAACAAAGCAUCUUCAAUAAUCUUAACUCACUAAGUUUUCUGUUAAUUUCCUCAUCAACAAGAAUAUCAUCACUGCCAAACACGGUCGUACUUUUAUAAUCCUCAACUAAAACCAUUGUAAUAAAAUAAAACAUCGUAAUAUCUUAUCAAUUUCUUAUUCAAAUACCUUAUAAUAGACCUGGUUACAUGAUCCAUGUAAUACCAAGAAUCGAGGGACUUUUCGUUUCUUCUUCUUCGGUGUUUUUUUUUACUUUCAUUUUCGUGAUCUUCUUCUUCUUCUUCUCUAAUGGUGUCUUCUUCAUUGAUAUUGUCGACGCCGAGACUUAGCUUGGGUUUUGAAUGAGGGACAGUGUUGUGUCGAUACCAAGAGUGUUUUUUUAUUGUCGUUUAGAAUUUUUAAAUUAAUUUUCUUUUAAAAAAAGGCAAUUAAAUUACGUGUUUUUAUGAUUUUAAUAUAUUAAUAUGAAAAAUAAAAAAAUCUAAAAGACAUUAUUAUUUAAUAUAUUUUAAAUAAAAAAAACUUUAUACAUCCCUUGUAGACUUAGGUAAAAAAUUAUUUUUUUAAAAAAUAAAUAAUUUAAUAAAAUAAUUGUUUUAAAAAAAUAAUUAAACUUUUAAACUCUGAUCCGAUGAAGUUAAGUUUAAAAAAUUCUGGUUAAAACUGGUUCAAAGCCUUCAUUGAGCCCAAUGUAAAGAGGCCCAACCUGCCGUCAUAAAAGCCCAAUAUUCUCUUCUCCGCCACCACUAUGCCAUGCCUUUUAUAUAAGCAAACGAAUAUGUACGAAGAAGAGCUUAGGCCUACAAAAGGGGAAAAGGGAGAAAAGUUGAUACUGCUUUUUCUUCUAAAUAGACACCGGAUGACUAUUGCACCCUUGUAAUGGUAUCUGAUUCAGCGAAAAGGAGGGUAUUAUGGUAAUUGGAACAACUUAAAUCGAGAAUCUGAACCGUUGUAUUCCUCUGCAAAGAUGCACAUGCUGUUAACCAAUGAUAAAUUAAUGUAUAGCUGUUACAGUUUGUUAUUUAUUAGGACUCCAUUACUGCAACAACUGUUACAAUAUGUUAUUCAUUAGGACUCCAUUACGGUUACAGUUACAGUUUGUUAUUCUUCCUGCAACGUAGAGAAUUCAGUUAGGUUCUGUAUCUAUAUAUAUAUAUGUCUUCUAUUAAUAAUAUAUGUAAGCAAUUCUCUUCCAAAAGCUUCAGCUCUAUCAUGGUAUUAGAGCGUCUCUGAUCCUUUAUUUAUUUUUUUCUCUUUCUCUUCCUACUCUUUUUCGGUUCUGUUUCUCCCUCAUUAACAUCACCAUGUCAACUUCCAUUCCAUCAAAUACGGAAAACCACCUUAUCACCAUAAACACAGCUGCUCAAGCUCCUCUUAAACUCACCUCUUCCAACUAUGCUUCCUGGAAAAUUCAAUUUGAAACACUCUUUAUUGGCUACGAUCUCCUUGGUUACAUCGAUGGGUCCAAGCCGUGUCCCUCACUAACUCUUAUAACAGAUGAUAUCAUUGUUCCCAAUCUUGCCUAUAGUCUCUGGGUGAGGCAAGAUCAACUUCUAUUGAAUGCUAUUGUUGGCAGCCUUUCUCCUCCGCUUAUCUUCUUUGUCGUCCGCACCAUUUCUUCUCAUGAUGCAUGGCAUGUUCUUGCCACAACAUAUGCCAAACCAUCCCGUGGACGUAUCCGCCAGGUGAAAAACCAGUUAAAGAAUCUCACAAAAGGCUCUAUGAGUAUCACAGAUUUUGUCUACUUCAUUAAAGCAAAAUCUGACGAACUUGCUGUUCUUGGUGCUCCUAUGGACACUGAUGAUCUUACUAAACAAAUCCUCGAUGGUUUAGAUGAAGAUUACACAGAACUUGUUCAGGUUGUCCAAGCUCGCGAAGCUGCUAUCUCCUUUGAUGAACUACAUGAGAAACUUCUCUUAUUUGAAGCAUCACUUCAAACACGGUCACAAUCCUCUCGUCUUGGUCCUAUUACUGCCAACUCUUUCACCAAGAACUCAAGCAACAACAAUUGGCGACCCUCAAGAACCAACUGGCGCCCAUUCUUUUCUCCUAUUGGGAACACUUUUCGUUCCCUACCUAUUGCCAACUUUCGACCUGCUACUUUUCCCAAUCAGGUUCGCAAUAAUCAUCUGCCUGCACGUCCUUAUUUGGGCCAUUGCCAGAUGUGUGGCACUCAGGGGCACACUGCUAAACGAUGUCCUUCUUUUCAUUUAGUUCAUGUUCAUGGUUCUAACAUUGCCAACUCCUCCAAUGGUAUGCCAUCCUCCUGGAAUCCCCAAGCCAAUUUUUCUUCUUCAUCUCUAUCCACCGCUGCGUCAUGGUUACUAGAUAGUGGUACUUCCCAUCACGUUACUGCCGACCUCAAUAAUCUUUCUCUCCAUACACCAUAUAAUGGACAAGAUGAUGUUAUGCUAGGCGAUGGUACCAAUCUUCCUAUAAGUCACACUGGUUCAGUAUCUCUUCCCACAUCUAACUCUUUUUUCCAAUUACAAGAUGUUUUGUGUGUUCCCAAAAUGCAAAAAAAAUUAAUAUAUAUUGCAUUAUUCUGUAUCACUAACAAUGUGUCAAUUGAAAUUUUUCCUCAUUGUUUUCAUGUGAAGGACCUACAAACGAGGGACAUUCUUCUGCAGGGCGGCACUAAGGAUGGUAUUUAUGAAUGGCUAGUUGCCAUCUCUUCCACUCCUCCCAUUCUAGCUUUCUCUGUUGUCAACAAUGUCCAUUUGGCACCGGCGCUUUGGUCAUCCAGCCUUCACAAUUCUUAAACAUAUUAUGUCCUCCUAUCAUUUAAAUUUUUCUUCUCAAAAGAAUUUCUGCUGCAAUGCUUGCUUAAGUAAUAAAAGUCAUAAACAACCAUUUUCUGUGUCUAUUUUGCUCACUACUCGUCCUCUUCAAGUUGUAUUUUCUGAUGUUUGGACUUCUCCUAUUAUUUCACACGAUGGUUAUAAAUACUAUGUUAUCUUUAUUGAUCAUUUUACAAAAUACAUUUGGUUAUAUCCAUUAAAACAAAAAUCUGAUGUCCAAAUAGUGUUUCGACGCUACAAAGCAAUUGUUGAAAAAUAUUUUCAACAAACCAUUAUUUCUCUUUAUUCUGAUAAUGGUGGUGAAUACAUUGCUCUCAAACCAUUUCUUUCAGAACAUGGGAUUAGUCAUCUCACGUCUCCACCACAUACACCUGAACAUAAUGGUUAUUCUGAACGGCGACAUCUUCACAUUGUCGAAACUGGUCUUGCCCUUUUUUCUCAUGCCUCAAUUCCCACUACCUUUUGGACUUAUGCCUUCACCACUGCUGUUUACCUAAUUAACAGGAUGCCAACUCCCACAUUAAACAUGUCUUCACCAUAUGAGUCAAUUUUUCACAAGAGUCCUAAUUUUUCUAAACUUAAAGUGUUUGGCUGUUUAUGUUAUCCUUGGUUGGGUCCAUAUGCAUCUCAUAAACUUGAUUUGAAAUCUCAACCCUGCGAUUUUCUUGGAUACUCCCUUUCUUAGAGUGCAUAUCUAUGCCCUAACAAAUCCACUAACAAACUACAUGUUUCACGGCAUGUACAAUUUGUUGAGUCAGUUUUUCCUUAUAAGUCUUAUCCUACUGCAACUUCAAAUUUUCCUUCCCCCGUGUCUGACUGGAUGCCUUCACCUAUUUUUGUCUCAUCUCAAACCCCACAACAACUGGCUCUUUCUGCUCCUUCCUCACAAUGUCAUGCAGAUGCAUCUCCUUCUAUGGUCUCUUCAUCAAGUCCUCCAACUCAUGCCGAAGCAAUUCCUUCCAUCAUUUCUACUCCACAGGUACCUACUUCCCCCUCUCAUCAUAAUCCUUCACUUCCAGCUCCAUCUCUACCUGUUCCACCACCACCACAACAUUCCCAACACCCUAUGAUCACUCGGUCCCGGAAUAAUAUCCACAAACCAAUCCAGAAACUCAGUCUUCACACUACUAAACCAGUCAUCUUUCAAACAGAACCUUCCACCUCCUCUCAGGCACUUAAAGAUCCAAACUGGCGAUCUGCUAUGUCUGAGGAAUAUGAUGCUCUAGUAUGCAAUGACACAUUGGAACUUGUUCCUCCUAAUGGUAUCACUAACGUUGUUGGUUGCAGGUGGGUUUACCGCAUUAAAAGACAUUCUGAUGGUUCUAUAAACAGGUUUAAAGCACGACUUGUUGCAAAAGGUUUCCACCAGCGUCUCGGUGUGGACUAUCAUGAGACUUUCAGCCUCGUUGUGAAGCCAACAACUAUCCGCUUGGUACUCAGCCUUGCUGUCAGCCGCGGAUGGUCACUUAAACAACUGGAUAUCAACAAUGUUAUCGCACGUGUGCAGCGUCACGACGAUCAUCCACCCUCAAUUGUAUGGAUAUAUAUCUAGUAAAUACGGGGAGACACGAAAUUCUUUGUCUCUUAGCAGUAAAAAAAAUGGAAUGGAGUCGCCACCUAGUAUUAUGGUCACUAGGAACCCUAAUUGGUCUCAGAGAUCGGGUACGGAGACUGGUUGCGUAAAGGGAAGGUAUUAGCACCCCAAAUACGCCCUACCUAAGGUAAGCUGCAUUGUUUUAUUUGUCUGAUCAAAAUCUAAGGUUUGGUCGUGUUUUCUAAUUGUUGGUCUUGUCUAUCUAAGAUUCAAGAAAAGCCCUCCUCAAUAAGAAGGUUCUUAUCUUAAUGGGGUAGAACCUAACCGUUCUAACGUUGGAAAAAGAUUUAAUAUCCGGAAUACGUAUUACGUGUCAUAUCGUACCCUGGAUACUAAAAGACAAACAAAAUAAAAUUUUUUAUUGUUUUUGAAAUUUUGGCUAAUGUUCUCUUGACUUUAAUAAACUGGUUAUUAAAGCCAAAAUGCAUGUUAAAACAUUAUUUUUUUGUUUAUAAAAAACACAAUAUGAUUUUUUAGCUUUGAGACACUUGGCCGUAUGCACAAAAAUAUUUUUUCUUUUUUUCAAAGUUUUUUGUAUUUUUGAAAGUUUUGACGAAAACCGGGUAUUUUAAUAUCAAAUUUUGUAUUUUUAGCAACAUAAAAAUACUGCUUGAUAUUAAUCAAAAUGACAAAAAAAUACGCAGGAAACUUGUAAAAUUACAAACAAAUAUUUUUGAAUUUUUCUUUUAACAAAAAAAGAAAAAAAAUUGGGUCGGAUCUGGCCCAUCCAUCCUGGGCUGGGCCUGACCCGGCCCAUAUACUGUGGGCUGGGCUGAUGUGCCAGCCCAUAACAAAUAAAAGGACUGGUUACUGUGCUGCGCACAGUAACCAGCAAAAAUAUAAUUAGCUAGUUAAUCUUCAUUUUGCUGCAGAACGUAAACGUUCUGUAAAAUGAAGCUGAAGCACAAAACGAUGGGGGAGGGGAGAAAGUUACCUGGAGCGGUGGCGACGCUGGCGGCAGCGGAUGCGACAGGGGUGGUGGUGUAGGCGGCGACUGUUCUCCUUCCUUCUCUCCCGUCUCCUCUGUUUCUCUUCUCAGCCACCCUCUCCUCUGCCUUUUUUUGUUUUCUAACUUUGGACACAAAAGAAAAAAAUUAUAUCGGAGCCCAAUCAUUGCUCCACCAUGCACACAUGCUUAACCACCUAAAAGAGAACGGUGCGACGCUUCCAACACUAUAAUGGAAAGCGGUGCUUGGCCAUCGAGAGAUGCCACAUGUGUCAUUCAAGGAGCAUUGAUACCUCCCACUCUCUGACACGUAUUGCACGUGUCAACCAGUUUUUAUUUUUAUAUAUAUGUUAAAAGACUAAAUUUUUUCUCAUUUACAUUGAUUAUAACUAAAAAGCCAUAAUGAAAAUAUAAAAACACACCUGGACACAAGUUUUAAUUUUUUUUCCUUUUAAAAGCAAUGUAGUCAUUUAACUAUGCUAGCAAAACGUAAAAAGAAAUAACCCCUUGGACCUUAAUUGUAAAAAAAAAAAUUUAAGACUGUUUAAGUAAUUUUACUGUGCAUUUGAAAUGGUAAAAGAUCUAUUGUCCCUAAUUAAUACGAGAAUGACAAAUGAACCAUGUAAAAAAGACUAAAUUACCCCUAACAGCUAGUUAAAUGACUUUUUUAGAAGGGCAAAAUAGUCAUUAUAUUUUUUUAUUCCACAACGAUGAGUUUAGGGAUACAGUGAAACGUUGAUGGCUUUUUAUUUUUUAUAUUUACUAGAACAAUUUUUAAGGAUAUUAUAGUUAAUUUUUAAGGAUAUUUUAUAUAUUCAUAAAUUAAAUGUUAAUGAAAAUUAAGAAAAGAAAAGAAUUAAAUUAUCAAUAAUGAUUGAUGAGAAACAAAAUUAAUGUAAUGUAUAUUUUGAAUAAUAAAUUGAGAUGAAGAUAUAAAAUAUUUUUUUUCUAGAAUAAUUUUGAUUCUUUUAAAGUGCAUUUAUAUAUAUAUAUAUAUAUAUAUAUAUAUAUAUAUAUAUAUAUAUAUAUAUAUAUAUGCAGUCUCUCUAUUUUCAUUAUCUGUAUUUUUUAUAUUUCAAGACAAGAAUCAAAUGCUACAUACAAAUAUUAUACAUUAUAGAAAGAAGUAUAAUUUUAUUCUCUCUAAUUCUCAGUCCACCCUUUUCAAGAUUUAAAAUUAAAAUCUCCUCAUAAAAAACCUAAAUCUUAACAGUUAGAUUGUGGAUUUAGUAAUUAAUAUUAAAUUCUGUCCUUGUUGUUUUGUAAUUUAAUGCUAAGUUGCUAACUAUACUCUUAUAAAUUCUCGUACACAUUCAAGAAAAAAACAAAACCCUAAAGUAAACCAUUAGUGAGGUUGGAUUCCUUCCUUUUAUUUAUAAUCGUUUAAAACCAAACCCUUCUCUUUCUUCCUUCCAUCGAAAUAUCAACUUCGUUUAGAAUUUGAUUGCUUGUCGUUUUCAUUGUGCGGCAUUCCAAAAUUACUGAUUCGAAACCACAUCUUCAACAAAAAUAAUCAUCCACAUGCUUCAUCUGUGGAUGACAAAUUCUAGGAAUCUCAGCUAAUUGUGAGAACUGCUGCGACAAACCUAUGAAAGAUGUCAGGGAAGGAUUAAGAAAGCUAGCUAUUUCAACGAAAAAACUAUUUACUAGGGCUAAAAAACGAAAGAAAGCCUGCUUUUUUGUUCUUAGAGGGAAGGGCAAGGGCCAAGGUUGAUUGGACUUGAUAUAAAGAUGAUGUCUAAUAAAAAUGCCAUUGAUGGCCCUUUUUGCAGGCUGUGAUUCAAGGGCCGCGAUCAUUUUUGGAUGCUGAUUUUGUUUUUAGUAAAAAAUUAAAAUCUAAUAAUUCUAAAACUUGGAAAAAAAUUUCUAAGGUUUUAAAAAAAUUCUCAUCGAUAAAUUUUUUUUAUUAAAAACUAAUUAUUGUAAAAGCUGAAACAGAGAGAAGAGCAGCUGCUGGGAACCCAAAAAGGAUGAUUUUGUUUUCUAACUUUGGACCCGAAAAUCCCCCCUGUUUCUGCUUCUUUGUAAACCUCCCCUGUCUCUUUUCUCAAAUUUGUUCCUCCCUUCUCUAUUUUUUUUUCUUCUUCAAGUUUGUUUCUCAAAAGUUUUGCCCCCUCUGGUUUCUCUCUCUUUUUUGUUUUUGCAGCUUGCCUGUCUUCCCCUGCUCUUUCCCUUUUUUUUUCUCCAAAGAAAAUUGUUGGUCUCUCUCUCGGUCUCCCUCACUUUCUCUUUAAAAAAAUCCUUCCAGCUCUCCCUUCUUGAUCUCCCCCCCUAUUCUCCUGCACUCCCUCUGUAUUUAUAGGCAGAGGGAGAGAGGGCCACCAUGCCCUAUCCUGCCAUUAUGCAGGGCAUGGCAUGGUGGCAUAGGGGUGGCUACUCCACAGCCGCCCCUACCUCUGUAGGGCAUGGGUCUUUUGGUGUGAAGGCGUGGUGGUGUCAGUGAAGGGACAAGUCAGGUCGUAGUUGGUUUUUUGGUUUUUGGGAGAGAGAAAGGAGAGAAAAAAAUAGGGGGAAAAAUGCUUCUUCUUCCCCUGUUCUCUGCGCGUCCAGGGGAAGAAGCAGGCUUAUGGUGCCGUUCAAAACGGCACCGUUUGCUCUUUCUCUCUCUUUUUUUUCCAGUGAAAUGCAUGAAACGACGCCGUUUUGACCAAAACGCGUCAUUUCAUUUAAACGAAAACUGGCGCCAAAAUGGGUCAAUUUGCGCGCUUUUUCACUAUGGUCCUUGGUUUUGGAUUUCUUCAAUCGAGUCCCUAAUUGGCCACCAGACUUCAAUAUGUAUGCAAUUAAGCCCCUGAUUUGACCAAAUCAACUCUUAAAAAUUAUAAUUUGACCCCAGAACUUUAAUUUCUUCCAAUUAAAACCCAAAUUGACUUAAAAAUCAAUUUUUCUUGCGAUCAAACCCUCCAUAAAUUCAAUUAAACUUUCAAUAAAAUUUAAUUGAGCCCAUAUACAUCUGAUUUUGUACAUUUCUUCCUCAAAUAAAAUUUUCUUUAUCAAUAGGGCUCUCACCGGUCAACGAUAUACUGUCAAAUUUCAAUCCUUGUAUUUUUUGAUCCUCCUCAACCAAUUUUUGACCAUUUUCGGGGCGCUCUAGCAUCCUCUUUUCACUGCUAUUAUUUUUUUAUUUUUUUUAUUUUGUGCGGGGACCAAAAAAUGGGUUACAACAAAUGCUUUCCUUCAAGGUCAUCUUUCUGAAACCGUUUACAUGGCGCAACCUCCUGAAUUUGUUGAUCGCGAAAAACCGUCAUUUGUUUGCAAACUCCACAAAGCCAUUUAUGGACUCAAACAGGCGCCCCGGGCUUGGUAUCAUGAAUUGCGCACAUUUUUGUUGGCUUCUGGUUUCCGCAAUUCCCACUCUGAUCCUUCUCUGUUCAUAUUUAACAGUGCUCAGCAUGUUUUGUUUUUACUGGUUUACGUGGAUGACAUUAUUGUCACAGGCAGCGAUGACGACAUUCUAUCAGAUUUUGUUUCUAGCCUUGCCAAACGUUUUUCUCUUAAGGAUCUUGGCAAUUUGUCCUACUUCUUGGGUGUUGAAGUUCUUCCUCACAAACAGGGUAUUCUACUCUCUCAACGCAGGUACAUUACUGACCUGCUAACUCGUCUCAACAUGCUGGACGCAAAACCAGUGCUCACUCCAAUUCCAAGCUCUGCAUCUGCUAUUUCAUUGCUGUCUGACUCGCCUUUAUAGAAUCCCACUGUUUAUCGUGAAGUUGUAGGGAGUCUUCAGUAUCUUUCUCUUACAAGACCAGAUGUGUCAUUUGUUGUGAACAAACUAUCUCAGUUCAUGCACAGCCCAACCGAUGACCACUAGAUCCUUGUUAAGCGAAUUAUGUGAUAUCUUAUUGGUACACUAAACAAGGGCCUUCUUCUGCACCGUGACUCGCCCUACAAUCUUCAUGCCUUCGCUGAUCAACUUCAUGCCUUUUCAGAUGCCGAUUGGGCUGGCAAUAAAGAUGAUUAUUCAUCCACCAGUGCUUAUCUAGUUUACCUUUGGAGUAAUUUAAUUUCAUGGAGUUCAAAUAAACAAAAGACCAUUGCCAGGUCUUCAACAGAGGCUGAGUAUCGCUCCGUUGUUGCCACUGCUGCUGAGCUCUGUUGGGUACACUCUCUACUUCAUGAACUUGGUGUUGCUCUGUCUUCUUCACCUGUGAUAUACUGUGACAACAUUGGAGGAACUCAGUUAAGUUCCAAUCCUAUUUUUCAUUCUCGCAUUAAACAUGUUGUCGUUGACUACCAUUUCGUCCUAUUUUCAGGGAUAAUAUAAAAAAUUUCAUUAAAUUUAAAAAAAUGAUGAAAUCUCGUAUCUUCAGGAUUCACGUCAAAGUUUUUGUUAAAAUUCAAGAAAUUGUGAAAUAUAUUAUCUUUAAGGAUUAAUGUAAAAAAAAUAAAAAGUUAAAAAACUAGUGAAAUCUCCUAUUUCAGAAAUUAAAGAUAACAAAAUUUUCGUUAAAAUUCUUUUAUAUAUUAAGGCCAGUGCCAUAAAAUGACAAGCUAUGAAAUCUUAGAUUUUUAGGGUUUAACGUUAUUUCGACAAGUUUUUUUAUUUUUAGAAACCGAUAUUUAUUUUUAAAUAAAUCAUAAAUAAAAUCAGAAUAUAAUAGCAUAAAAUAACUUAGAAAAACAAAAGUAAUGGUAAUUUUUUAUUUGAAAAGAUAUGAUAAGGGUGGUGUUAACCUGAUAAGGGUGGUGUUAAAAAGAGAGGCAACAACGGAGAAGAAGAAAUAAAAAAGACAUAAAAGCACAGUAUCUGCAACAAGAAGAAGGAAGGAGAAAACAGGAUCAGACAAUAGAUAAAAAUGAGAAGUCAACUUCUAUUAUCCCCGAAAAAGAUCUCAAUGAGAAGUCAACUUCAAUUUCAUUUUUCAACCUACAAGUUGUGCUGAUCUUCCUUUACCACAGUCCUACAAAAACUAAUAAAAAAAUGUUGAGACACUAAAAUACAAGCUUCACCUGCAACGCCAAACCCUAAGUAUAUAAACUAACUUCCAUUCACAAUCAGCCGCCUCCUUCCCUUCACCCUCUCUUUCUCUCUGCUCAUCCCAUCAUCAUUGCUUCUCUCUCUCUCUCUCUCUCUUUCCAAUCAGAACUAAACAGACGAUGGCUGAGGCACUUCUAUCUCCGAUCUUGGAGCAGUUAACCACAAUCGUUGCUCAACAGGUAUUUUUCUACCAUCUGCAAUAACCUGAUUUACCUAGCAGAGAUAAGAAAUAUAUAUAAAGUUCAAGCCUUUUUUCUUCCUAUCAUAAAAAGAAUACUUUUAACUUGAAUAAAUAAAAAUAAUAUUUUAAAUCCUCAAGUAUAUAUUUGGAUUUUAUUAAAGAAUCUUCUUUUUCUUGUUUUAUUAUUUUUCAUAUUUCCAAAAAUAACAUAAAGAAAAUAUAUCAUUCCAAAUAUAGGAAAACCGAAAAAGGCAAAACAAGAGAUGCCAAUUCUCUUUAAACUUAACUAUUAAGGGUAAAAUAAUCAAUAAAAAGUUCAAAGGAUUAGCGAGCGAGUAUUUGGUGUGAAUUAACACACAAUCUUAUUAUCAUGCCUUUAUUUCACAAAUUAUACAUACAGAUCCUUUAAUUAUUCACUUGCAUUUAUACAUCCAUAUAUCUAUAGUUUAAUGUAAAAUGAAAACCAGAUUUUAUGUCGGUUCAAAGGAGAAAUCCUUCUCUCGUGAGAACAAUGAACUCUUUCCAUACCUAUAUUAAUUAUAUAUAUAUACACGCACAGGUUUAACGUUUUACCAUUUAAGAUUCAUUUUAUACCUUCUUGUACAGUAGCGUAGUGCAGACUGAUAUCAUCAUCAUGAUGAUAAAAAGAAAAAACAAAUAUUAUUAUUUCUAAUAAAUAUUUUAUAUAUAAAUUAUUAAUAUAGUAAAUCCAUUUCACAAUAAAAUAUAUUAAUACAAAAUAGAAAUGUUUCCUAUGCUUGAACUUGUAUUUUCUACACUAAUAGGUACAGGAAGAGGUGAACCUAGUAGGGGGUGUGAAAUUGUCAUAGAAAUGUUUCCUAUGCUUAACGUUUCUUUUCCUUUGUACACUAAUAGGUACAAGAAGAGGUGAACCUAGUAGUGGGUGUGAAGAAACAAUGUGACAAGCUGAAAAGCAAUCUCCUUGAUAUCCAAUCUGUCCUUGAAGAUGCAGAUAGAAAACAAGUGAAAGAUAAGGCUGUAAGAGAUUGGCUAGACAAGCUCAAAGAUGCAUGUUAUGAUAUGGAUGACGUGCUAGAUGAAUGGAGAACUGCAAUUCUUAGAUGGAAAAUGGAGGAAGCUGAAGAAAAUACUCACAGCCGACAGAAGAUACGGUGUUCCUUCCUGGGAUCUCCUUGCUUUUGUUUCAAUCAAGUGGUUCGACGUCGCGACAUUGCCCUGAAGAUCAAAGAAGUUCGUAAAAAAGUGGAUGACAUUGCCAAAGAGAGAGCUAAGUAUGGCUUCGAUCUGUACAAAACCACUGAUGAACUCCAGCGACUAACAACUACCUCCUUUGUUGAUGAAUCAAGCGUGAUUGGUCGAGAUGGUGAAAAGAGAAAUGUUGUAAGCAAGUUGCUGGCUGAAAGUAGUCAAGAAGCACGGGACGUGGAUGUCAUCUCUCUAGUAGGGCUGGGAGGAAUUGGAAAAACAACUCUCGCCCAACUAGCUUUUAAUGAUGCUGAGGUUACGGCUCAUUUUGAGAAAAAGAUAUGGGUGUGUGUUUCCGAACCAUUUGAUGAGGUUAAGAUAGCCAAAGCUAUCCUUGAGGAGCUUGAAGGGAGGGCAUCCGAUUUGGUAGGAUUGCAAUCCCUUUUGCGAAGGGUUUCUGAAUCCAUUGAGGGAAAGAGGUUCCUUCUUGUCCUUGAUGAUGUAUGGACAGAAAAUCACGGACAAUGGGAACAACUGAAACCAUCUCUCACAGGCUGUGCACGAGGAAGCAGAAUUCUAGUGACCACUCGUAAGGACGCUGUGGCAACGAUGAUGGGAAGUACUGGCCACCGGAUCAACAUUAAGGAAUUGUCCGACGAGAUAUGCAGGUCAAUAUUCAAUCAUGUGGCAUUCCAGGAAAGAAGCGAAGAUGAGCGCGAAAGAUUGACAGAUAUCGGCGAUAAAAUUGCAAACAAGUGCAAGGGCUUGCCUCUAGCUGCCAAGGUAUUAGGAGGUCUAAUGCAGUCUAAAAGAACAAGAGAAGAGUGGGAUCGUGUUUUAUCUAGCGAACUGUGGAGGCUAGAUGAGGUUGAUAGAGAUCAAGUUGAACGACGAAUAUUUAUACCUUUGCUCUUGAGUUACUACGAUUUACCUUCUGUGGUAAGACGAUGUUUCUUGUAUUGUGCCAUGUUUCCAAAAGACUACGAGAUGGACAAAGAUGAAUUGGUGAAGAUGUGGAUGGCUCAGGGUUACCUCAAGGAGACUUCAGGUGGAGAUAUGGAGCUUGUAGGAGAGCAGUACUUUCAAGUCUUAGCAGCGCGCUCUUUCUUCCAAGAUUUUGAGACGGAUGAGGAUGAAGGAAUGACAUUCAAGAUGCAUGAUAUAGUGCAUGAUUUUGCCCAAUAUAUGACAAAAAAUGAAUGUCUAACAGUGGAUGUCAAUACACUUGGAGGAGCAACAGUGGAGACUUCAAUUGAAAGGGUUCGUCAUUUAAGCAUGAUGCUGCCCAACGAGACCUCUUUUCCCGUGUCCAUUCACAAAGCAAAAGGUCUUCGCAGCCUCUUGAUCGACACUAGAGACCCUUCGCUUGGAGCUGCACUGCCUGAUUUGUUCAAGCAGUUGACAUGCAUCAGGUCAUUGAAUUUGUCAAGGUCUCAAAUCAAAGAAAUACCAAACGAGGUAGGGAAAUUGAUACAUUUGAGACACCUCAAUUUGGCAUGGUGUGUAGAGUUGGAGUCCCUGCCAGAAACCAUUUGUGAUUUAUGCAAUCUGCAAUCCCUAGACGUUACUUGGUGCCGGUCUCUCAAGGAAUUGCCCAAGGCGAUUGGAAAACUUAUCAAAUUGAGGCAUCUCUGGAUUGAUAGUUCAGGAGUGGCCUUCAUACCAAAGGGAAUAGAGAGGAUAACAUGUCUUCGAACAUUAGAUAAGUUUACUGUGUGUGGUGGUGGUGAGAAUGAAAGUAAAGCAGCUAAUCUAAGAGAAUUAAAAAACUUAAAUCACAUUGGAGGGAGUCUCAGAAUAGACAAAGUAAGAGAUAUAGAAAAUGUGAGAGACGUCGUGGAUGCACUACUCAAUAAGAAGCGCCUACUUUGCUUGGAAUGGAAUUUCAAGGGAGUGGAUUCCAUCUUGGUGAAAACAGAGUUGCCAGAGCAUGAAGGCUCUUUAAUUGAAGUUUUACGGCCUCCGUCAGACUUGGAAAAUCUAACCAUACGGGGUUACGGAGGGUUGGAUUUGCCAAAUUGGAUGAUGACAUUAACCAGAUUACGGAUGCUUUCACUUGGUCCUUGUGAAAACGUGGAGGUCUUGCCUCCGUUGGGAAGAUUGCCCA
rnacentral:lncRNA from 1 species